rnacentral:lncRNA from 1 species
UUAAAGUGCCAGAUGUAGAGGAUGAGGAGGAGGAUGUACCGGUUGAGGUUCCUGCUCCUACUGCACGUGUUCCCCGUAGGGAUUUACUAGGUAUUCAAGUGGCGAACCCAGAGCUCCUAGGUGAUUUGAGUCGACACCCUUCAGUUUACCUGCAUGCAAACGAGGUAUAAAGUUAGAUCUUAAUCUUCCUUUUUCCUAUUGAUGAGGAGUCAAGGAUUCUGAUGUUGAUCUGCAUUUGAUGUAGGUUCCCGGCUUUACGCAGCCUCGAGGGAAUUGGUUCAGCAUCCACUCUAUAUAUCAGGCUUAACACGAUGACUAUAGAGCGAUCGUACAUAGCUGGGGAUUCAGGACGUUCUUUUCCAUUCUUCCCCGUCGUUGUCCCUGGGGUUACCUCAGGGCAUUAUCUGAGUGCUAGUUUCACUGGACUCAGUCACUCCAUUUAUUGGAUUGUGAGGUGAUGAUGGCGUCCAUGGAUUGGCUGUUUAUCAUAGGUAUGGAGUUUGGAGGGGCGCCAGUGCCUUGUAUAGUGGAUAUUACCCUUACUACCGUCAAAUCCUUGUUGGGAGUUCCAGAUGGAACGCUCAAGGGCAGGACUGUACGUACAGGUCCUCUGAGCGUAGAUGCUAUGAGCGAGCUAUUGAGUGAGCCCAUAACCGAUGAUGUGAGGGUCAGGGAUCGCAUUCUUCGACGAUUGUUCCUGAUGAUC